GACAGUGAGAAUGGAUUGUCAAACUGGACCACUAUGACAAUUUACUCUGAGGGAGAAAAUCCUGUGGGUGUUUAGAAGCUUUACUAUAACAACUGCCCGGUUGGCAACUUUACCAAAGCAGGAGGAAGAUGGUGAAGGAGACUGACACAGCAUGAGAGCCUGCAGACAGCAGCUGGUGACUCUCCAGCAGGAAGCACUGAAAUGUGGAUGGUAAUGCUGAUCCCAACACAAAGUCCGAUAUCUGGGGAGCUUGAGACUGAGGUGGCACCCACCAGAGUGGGACAAAGGGCAUCAUCAGAGAACCUCUGAAGACCUUUUCUUCAUGAGGGCAAGACAGGACUGAAAGACAAGGAAGUGCAGCCCAGUAUUCUCUCACAAUGUGGCACCAUGGCUGUCAUAAAACCACCUUCCAUUCUGACUGUUGAUACAGAAAUGAAGACAAACUUUCAAAAAGGUUGGUACACACCCUGACUUGUUUUAUUUUUGAGUCAUUUUUGAGUCAUUUAUGGCCUGGUUUCUUUGUCUCUGCACUUUCAAACAUGACAAAAGACAUGGGGCAGGUGUUUGGAUGGCAUCAGUUUUUCUCAUUUAUUCUAUGAGGUCCCAUAAAAAACAGUCAAUGAGCAUGGAACACACUCUGGAUGUGUCUAAAAGCGUCUCAAAUACUAACAUGUGAAUUUAGUAAAGUUAAACUCUGUGGAAUGGAGAUAAAUGACAGCAGCAAUUGAAGUUGAAUGUGAUAUAGAAAUCCAACUAACAGAAGACUGUCUGGAAACAAUUAUUUGGAAAGCUGCUGACCCUCUAUUUCUUUAAAGAGUUAAACAUUUGGAUCAGUUAACUGGCAGCUGCAAUAAUAGGCAUAUGCUCUAAUCUUUGAUCCAUAGCUGAAUUUUCAACUCUUUGUAUGAGAUGCAGAUCACAUAGAUUUGCAUAUUUUUAAGGAUCUAUAGGGAAAAAAAGAAGAACAAAACCUGCCUUUCCAAGACACCACUUUGAGAUCACACACAGUGCCAUGGGUGCUCCCAAGUACUCUAAUGUUCAGAGCCAGUUGUAAAACUCAAAAAUUUUAUAAAUGGCCCUAAACUGUGACAUUUACAUCUGAAGAUUAAUCAAAAUUCCUCCUAGAACAGACUCUUGCAAGCCAAGGUUACAUCGUAACUCUUUGGAGAGUUAUGUUCAUCUAUUCUUAAGAUCCCAUUUUCACAUCCAAAUCUGUGUCAGAACUUUCAUAAAAUCUUGAAGAGUCCAGAAAUUAUGGAUAAAUUUAAAAAUGCUUUGUAAGUAAAUGAGAAACUGUUGACUAGACUCAAAUGCAUGAGCAAGUAACAGAUUUAUGCCAAGGUCUUGACAUUUUCUUAGAUUUGACAAAAUUUUUCAGUGUUGAUGAAAAUCUGCAGAGAUAAGAUAACCAUGAAUCACCCCGUGAAUGGAAUGGAUGUAAUCAACCAACUUUUUGCAUUUAAAAUUCAUUUCUUGUUCAUCUCUGUUUUCAACACCAACUGAAAGAUGUUUACUAAUCACUCAUUUUGGAUCAACCAUCACACCUACGGCACAGAUUUCCUCCAUUCAGUAGUAUUUCAUCAGGAAGUAGGUCCUACCGAGAGAAGCAAGCAAUAUACUGAGUACUGGGAAGUGAAGAAGUAAUCAUCCCUGCAAACGUGCUCAAUUGUGUGGAAUGUUUCAACAUAGUCUUUACUCGAUUCAUACUUUACAAUAGGCUUUUCCUCCUGGUUCACCUACACAACAGGCUCUGACAUCAAUGAAGAUGAUGAGAGCAGCUGUUUGUUAUUUGUCUGUGAAUAUUUUCUAUCAUCCCAAGCAAAAAUGCAGACUACUGCCUGGGACUAUGCAGAGAUGUGUGAAGAAGUUGUUCUCCAAAAAGCAUUCUGUGUAGAUUUCUUGUAGUUGCCCACAGAAAGCCAUAUGGGGGCAUGGAGAAUUUUUAGAAGCCUGACUGACACAGGAGACAGCACUUCCAGGCACUAUGUGUCUUGUCCUAUCUGCCUUGUUAAGUCCUGGCAAAAAAAAAAUCCCAUGAAGAGGAGAGGAAGGUGUUGCACAUUCUUGGGUAAGGUGCAGUAAGGGGCUGGGGAGGUGCCGUGGUGGGUGUGAUCAGACCACUGGCAGGUAACCAGAAUUUGAGCCUGUAACAAUAGGCGUCUUAGAGAGGUAGAGAAUAAAGAGAAUAGCAUACAAGUUUUAAUGAGAAAAACUGAUUGCUGAUGCAGAGGUUUUGAGAAGGGACCAGCCUGUGUCCUAAUAGCACAUACAUUCCACAUAGUAAACAGACUUCAAAGUAACCCAAAAGCCAAAAUAAAGAUUUGCUACUUUUUGUACCUUUCCAACAGCAGUAGUUGGUACUCUUCUCUCACUAGUAUGGCCGUGUAACAGGCUUUUUAAGUUCUGGAAGCAUUAUUAAAAUAAAAGGCCAAGUCUUGCCUUGCUUCUUAACUAGGAAGAGCUAUAGAUCUCUAUAGGACUACUCUUUAUUGCUCUCCUCUGUGCUUUGUAUUCCUUUGGAUGUCUCUCCCCAAUGGCCUCUGAAAGAUUCUGGAUCUCCUAGAACCUUACUUUUUAGGGCAUUGUGUAACCUGCUUGUUUUGUGAGAAGGCAGAAUGCAAAAACUGAAAAAUUGCGUUAUAUGCUGUAUAGUGUGAUUUCAAUUGCUUCACUUAGUUAUUGCCAACCAUAUUUUACAAAUAUCAACACAUUAUAUUUGUUCUGACCAUUGAAAUUAUGCUUUCAAAAUAAUUCAGAUAUGUGUUCUGAUGUAUUUUGUCAAUAUUACAAUUGUACAAAAUUGGUUAUAUCAGUUAGGAGAAUCAUCUUAAAAUUGCCUCCCUGCAAUUCAUUCUCUGUAUCUUAACUUUGUACAGUACUACAAGAUCAUUUUGCUCAUGUGCUAAGUGGGAUCCUAGUAUAUCACCACAUUCAGUCAAAAUAUUGCAAGUUAAAAUAAGAAUACCUGUAGAUUAUGAAAAUGACACCAAGAAAAUAGCAUUUCUUGUUAAAUAAGCAGAAAAACUGGAAAUCGUUUCAGUAAAAAUUGAUUAGAAGAGCAAUAUUUGGGAGGUAUUGUCAUUAUUGUGGACAACAGUAAAAGAAAAACAUACAUCAAAUCAGAAUUACUUACCUUGAAUUUAAAAUGUUAAUGAACCAAGACAUUAGCAAAGAGAUAGUAUAUAACCUUAGUGGUUUGCUCUAAGGCAAUUGCCUACACUCCCUCUGUAGCUGAGAGAGAAAGAGACUCCACCAGUAACAGAGACUUAUUUUAAUAUGGCCAUAUGAGAUACCAUCCUAUAAUGGCCAUAUGAAAUGGCUGAACAGGGAUCUGAAGGUGCUACCAUGACAGACAGGGAAAGAAAAGUUAUCUGAGACUAGAUAGCUAACUCUAAGACAGCCACAGCAAUUUAUAAAGAAUCCUUCUCUGUACAUGAAGUCCCAAAUUUUAGAAAAUUAAAGACCCAAUUAAUUUCUAAGGUAUUUUCAUUUAUUAUAAACAGAUGUGCUAGGGAUGAGCAUGCCUGUUUGUAUCUUGACAUAGAUUUCAUAGGCUGGACUUCAGCUGACAGCUCUGCAGUUAUGAAUCUUGAGACAUAUUUCACUUCAAUUAGGAAGUUUUAGGAAGCACAGGAUCUUUAUUCACAAAAGCCUUUGAGAAAUAGAGCUCUCAGAUUUUAAUUCUUCAUUUGAAUUAAGAAAUUUAGUGAAAUAAGGAUACUCAUGGUAGGCUUUCUACAGCUUUUCCUUUGAGAAAGCUAGGACAAACUGAACAGCAUAAAUGCUUUUCUCUUUGAUGGAUGAAGUCAUGGAACUGAUUCCUGGCAUGGUCUCUAUAUCUGGGCCUAAGGCAGGUAUAGUGAAUGUCAAUCUCAUAUCCAUACCAUAUAAAAGGGAUGCUUGUCUGUAUCUUAAAUCAGACAUAUGUUUCUUUAGUGAAUGCAGUACAAAUUAAGCUAAUUUCUUGUGUUUGACUCUAUAAACAGACCAAGUUAUGGUCAUCAAAGUUCACUAAAAUAAAUUUUAAGUCACAAAGCCUA